CUUUUGUCUUCAAGCAGUCUGUCUUGAUGCAGUUUGGUUGUAUCCAAAACUAAGAAAGAGUUUCAGUUACUUUGACUACUGCAGAGUGGACUUUCCUUAUUCAGCUAACAAAACUGAAGACCCACGUUCUCAAGUUAGGACAGACAAAGCAGAGGUAGCUGAACUGAUCAGGCUUGAAAGGUCCUUUUCUUCAUUGGUAGAAGAAUUGACUAGCAAAGGGAAUCUUCACAGCUUUCAAAGAGAUCUUCAGAGGUUGAUGAAGCUUGUAGACAGACAAGAAGUUCUGAAGUCUUCAUCCUCUGAACGUUGUAACUUCUGAACAUGUGAAACUCUGAUCACGUGAACUUCUGAACUCACGUCCUCUGAGCUUCACUCAGAGCUUAUUUGAUGCUUAUAUCUGCACACUUAAAAUAAAGUUUUAGUCCUUCCAAUUGUUUAUUAAUACUUUGUUAUCAUCAAAACCUUUAUAGAUUUAGGGGCAAACAUUUUUAAA
rnacentral:lncRNA from 1 species